UUUAGUCAAAAUAUCCUUUUCAGAUGGUCGCAUUUUCCCUCUAAUUUUCCCCCUUUUUUAAUUGACGAUUUAUUCAAUUUCGUAAUUUGAGAAGAUCAGAGGAAGAAAUCAAGCGAGAUUGUUCAAUUCCAUUUUUGAAGUAUUUUAGUUCAGAUUAUGGAUAGUGGAGAAGAUGAUUUCACAUUCUGCAGGGUCGCGGCACCAGAUAUUCAAGAUGAUCUCAUGGCCAAGGACCUUGCGUCGAAUGUAGGCGGUAUUACCCUUAAGGAUGAAUCGUCAAACCGUGCACCCGGAAACCAUAGUGAUGGUGUUUUGUGGAAAGACCAGUCUCUGAAUCAUGUUUCUCCAAAGAAGGAGACCAUUGGAUCUUUGUCCUUCAGUGUGAUUGAUGUGUCAUCAUCUAAGCAGGGCAGUGAACAGUCGAGACAAGCAGUGCCUGCGAAUCCUAAAACUUCAGGAACUGGUUUGCAGGCACCCAAAGCUGCGGGUAAGAAGCCUGCAGCUCGGUCAAAGGUUCCAUUUGAGAAGGGUUACAGCCAAAUGGACUGGAUGAAGUUAACACAGACACAUCCCGAUCUUGCGGACCUGAAGGGACUGUCAAACAGAAGGCUUAUUCCCAUGGAUGAAGUGAAACAGCACCGAGGAGAAGGUUCCAUGUGGACUGUUCUCAAGGGGCGUGUAUACAAUAUAACCCCGUACAUGAAGUUCCAUCCUGGAGGGGUGGAUAUGCUGAUGAAGGCUGUGGGGAAAGACUGUACCUCCUUGUUCAACAAAUACCAUGCUUGGGUCAAUGACGAGUUUUUACUGGAGAAAUGCCUUGUCGGGAUAUUGGAUGAUAGCAGCAAAUGAAGAGCCAAGAAGCCUCAGCGGAUUCAUCCGGGAAUGCUGCACGCUUACAUGGCGAUACUGUCUUCAUAUAGACAAGACUGUAGGUUAUGGAUCCCGGGAUUCAUCUAUGUUUUCGAUGAACACUCGUGACCAGAGAGGAACCAGGCAAAUGAACCAUGCUCUGCCUCAUCCUGUCUCGUAUAGUGUUAAACUUGCAUAGACUCGUCAAGUUAUCGAAUUCCCGCGACGAUAAGGACUCCAUUGGUGUAGAAGAGAGCUGAAAUCAUCUUAGUACCUAACUAGGCUUCCCAACCGGGGUUCGAGUCUUCAUUUGGAGAGGUGCAUUCAAAUGAGCUUCUCCAAUCCUCUGAAAGAUGUAGUUAGACCAAAUGUCCAGUGAACUUUCAGAUUAUAAAAAAAAAAGUUAGGGUACAUUUCGGUUGGGUAUCCAAAAUUUCUGGAAUAUCCGAACUCGAAUUUGAAUAUCUCGGAUUUUGUGAGAUAUUAUCCGAUCUCGGUUUUAUUUUGACCGGAUAUAUGAAAAUAGGAUAUGGAAGUUAUUUUGACCGGGUAUUCAAAUAAAGAAUUUCAGUUUUUUUCCAUAACAUUUACAAUAUAUUAGAGUUGGCUCGGAUUGCGUAUUAGAUAUUUUUGGAUGACCUAAAUUCGGAUCCAAAAUUUUGGGACUCUUCAUUUAACUUUUUUUUAAUGUAUUUUCUUUAGAAUCCGAAGGUAAAAUGUCAUCAUUUGAGUAAAUAUCAUCUCAAAGCAAAUACCCGAGUCCAGAUCCAAUUUUCAGGUUUCCCUAAUAACAAAAUUUGAUGAGAACUGUCUUUUCAUGUCUGAUUUCUUAGGCUGUGUAUUUGGUUUGGUUUCUUGUCCGGUUAGCUUUCUCUUCUUGGUUUUCGGUUUUUUCCUUUUGUACUUGAAGAAACUUGUGUUCUUUAUUUUAGAUAAUACAAUCAGAAAUUUUACUUCAGUUCCUUUACUUCUCUGAUUUACUAAUCGUUUGUUAUGUUAUUCAAAAUAAAAAUGUAUAAAAAUUUAUUUUUAUUUUAAUUGUUACCAUAAAAGGGGUCUAAAUACAAAAAUUGAUAGUACCUUGCGCAGUCACGUUUAUUUUGAUAAAUAAAAUAAAUCAACCAAGCCGCACGUGCAUUUCUGCGCUAUGCCUUCUUUACCUUAACCGGUUCGGUAAAGAAAAGCCCAAAAACCCGACCGGCAAAAAUUGAACCGACGAGAGGACCGACCCAAUAGACGGAGUAAAGCUCCCAAGUGUUGUGCCGAUUCUUCGCAUAAGCCCAACCAAAGGCAAUAGCCGGGUUCAUACCGGGACCGGUUAAACCUGA